GUGAUCAUACCAUCACUAAUGCACCGGAUCCCAUCAGAACUCCGCAGU
rnacentral:rRNA from 1 species